UACGUAGGGUGCAAGCGUUGUCCGGAAUUAUUGGGCGUAAAGAGCUUGUAGGCGGUUUGUCGCGUCUGCUGUGAAAUUUCGGGGCUCAACCCCGAACUUGCAGUGGGUACGGGCAGACUAGAGUGUGGUAGGGGAGACUGGAAUUCCUGGUGUAGCGGUGAAAUGCGCAGAUAUCGGGAAGAACACCCGUGGCGAAGGCGGCUCUCUGGAACGCAACUGACGCUGAGACGCGAAAGCGUGGGGAGCAAACAGG
rnacentral:rRNA from 1 species